rnacentral:lncRNA from 1 species
ACUACAGCUCGAACUUACCUCCAACAAUACAUGUCACCUGCUAUAAAACUAUCUCCAUCAAUAUGUCCCCCUAUUGUGCUCUCAUCUCUGGUUUAUCAUUAACAGUAUUUGAAAAACAUUUAAGAAAAAUGAAUCAUUGAGAAGAAAAUGAACAUUAUUUUUUAAUUGACAAAUGAUUAAUGUAAGACUCCUUCCACUAGCCAACAACUUCGAAUAACCGUACUACAUAUGGAAAUGGUCAAAGAAACUGAUUUGUGAGUAUAAAUGAGUUAAAAGAUAUUGUCAUAAAGCACAAGAAUAAAGAUGGAGAUGGUCCCAGCAUCCAAGAUGUCCCAUCAGCCCCCUGCAUUGGUUUCACUAUUCUUGGCAUUUUUACAUAAUGCAUGGAUGCUGUGUUCAAAUUAGGGAAAGGGUUUUUUGUCAGCCCCAUUUCUUUCUUUCCAAGUCCUGCCUUUCCCUUACUGAGGAGGUAAUAUAAACCUUAUGCUAUUUUUAUGAAAUAUUAUUUUCCCCAGCAUCUACAAUAAAAACAUGUUAGAAUAAAGGAGUUGACUAGUCUGGAAAGUACUAAUUGACCAUAAAAUCAACAUUAGCCGUCAGCCUCUUCCUCUAUAAACACUGACCAGUUACUUGUUUCCACAAUGCCAUGUAUUAUGUGCAGUACACUCUAUUAAGGUAAAUGUGAUGCUUGUUAAGAAAGUGCAAUUUAUUGUACAUUGUCCCAACAAAUGUUUACUUUUAUAACCGUUAUGAUCUUGUACUGGAUUGGUAUCUUGUUUAGAUGUGUGAAUGAAACCUUGUGAAUAAACAAAUGUGACCAAGAAGGUAACAAGGUGGCUGAUUUGUGAGCCAGUGACAUUUUCAAUGCUUUGUGUUGCCCCUUUGGUUCCAUUAAACAGUAAUAAACAUUUGUUUCAAAGUC